AUUAGUUGGAGGAACUACUGCAGCUCAUAGGGUGUGGUAAAAUUAAAUAAAUAUUUAGAAAGAGCGCCCGGCAUAUAUUAGGUUACCAGCAGCAAUUAUCAUUAGGAUAAGGCCAGUUCAUGAUCUAUCAUUACUUUAAGCUCCAAAGAUAGGAAAACAACCUAAAAUGAUGACAUUAUAAGUAAAUGCAUAUGAUAAAGUAGGCAGAAGAACACAAUAGGAAACUAUAUAAAUCAAACUUCCUGGAUUUUAAAAAAAUGAAAUAAAUGAAGAGUCAGGUGCACAGGUUUAUAGGAACGGGCAAUGUUCUAGCUCUUUGAUUGGGGGAUGGGUACCCACAUAUGUAGUUUCCUUAAGCUGUGCAUAUAUGUCGUAUGUACCUCUGUUGGCAUGACCCGUUUCACACGCAAAAAUAUCUGAAGUUAAAAAAUCACAGGGAGUGAAGACACCAAGAUGCCUAAGAAGCAAGCUGCUAUGAAUCCUACAACCCCAGGAAACAGAAUGCUGCCAACAACCGCACAGGUUUAAAAAGCAAUUUCCUCCUCUCCUCACGCUAUAAAAGAGGAGCCUGCAUCUGGUAUCGAAUACACUGUUUACAGAAAGAAGACUCCACUUCUAGGCUGUUUGGACGUGCUCAUUCUUCCCUGCAUAAACUUACUCCACCUCUAUUUAUGCUAGACAGGAAGUAAACGUGCAAACGGAAUCAAUAAAAAGCAGCUGAAGGCACACAUUCUUUGACUCUAAUUAAGGUGGGAUGCCUGAAUCACAGCUGUUCCUACCACUGAAAAUGUUUUUGUAAUAAACAGUGGA